UUACCAUGAUUUUGUAUGAAGUUCUUAGGUUAUACCCGCCGGUAAUUAUGCUUAAUCGAGAUGUUCAUGAAGAAAUAAAGCUUGGAAAUUUGCUAUUACCUGCCGGAGUGCAGAUCUCGGUGCCAACAAUCCUCCUUCACCAAGAUCAUGAACUAUGGGGUGAUGAUGUCUCUGAGUUCAAACCAGAGAGGUUUGCUGAAGGUGUUUCAAAGGCAACAAAGAGUCAAGUCUCAUUCCUUCCAUUUGGAUGGGGUCCUCGAAUAUGCGUUGGACAAAACUUUGCUUUGAUUGAAGCAAAAAUGGCUUUGGCAAUGGUUUUACAGCGUUACUCUUUUGAGCUCUCGCCGUCGUAUAUUCAUGCUCCUCGCACUGUCAUAACUCUUCAGCCACAGCACGGUGUGCCAAUGAUAUUACGUAAACUCCAAAAUGUUCAUAUGUGACGGGUAAGAGUCAUCCCAGGGUAUAAAGUAGGUUGGAUCUCCCAACAAACCAAACCAAAAAGAAAACUUCUAGUAUAUUAUGUGCAAAUUAUGCUAUCAUGUCCAAUGAUAUGUUUGUCAUAUUAAUCACAACAUUAUAGUACCGUGGGUUGUUUUGCUGUAAUCGUAGUAGAUUACUAUAAUAAAAUUACAUAUUUGCUUUUGAGUAGGAAAGAAAGAAAGUCCUGAGGGUGGGGUGUUUUGGUCUAUUUUAUUAACCCAUUCAUUAUUAAAAAAAUUAUUAAGGGUGUAGAAUUUAUUUUUUUGUACGAUAAAAAGAUUAUUUUACUUUCAAAGUCAACAAAACUUAAAGUGGUUGAAUAAUUUUUUUUUUUUUUACUUUUUAUAAAAUUUGAGAUAGUAAUAUUUUUUUUUAUCUAGGAUUAAAAAUUUUUUGGGCUAUUAGGCAAUGGUUUUUUUUCCCCUGUAUUUUUGGCCCUAGAUAAAACAGAAAACAAAAAAUCGGGUUUAUAUUUAGGGGUAUUUUUAUACUUUCACACGGGCUUUUAGAUAAUUAACAAAGUCAUAAGAGUUUUUUUAAUAUUUUUAAGUUGAGUUUUUAAUUUUUUAAUCAGAAAAGUUGUUGGUGUGUGGUAAACACACCGACAAGUAGAUGACGUCUGAGUCAUUCUAAUGUGAUCUAGUUGUCCCAUUUAAAACUUGAUUUGACUCCAAAAAAAACUUUAAGUUGUCAUUAUUUUAACCUUUGCGCAAUCCAAUCAAGUUCAAAUAAGGAAUAAUGGAUUGUGAUAUGAGGAAAUCGUGGUGAAACAAAAAGAUAAAACCAUAUUGGAUCAAACUCAAUCAAUCUAGGUAACACCUACCACAUGCGUUGGCAUGAUCAUGACAUGAUCACAAUAAGCUUAUAUGGUUUGGUUAUUUGUUUCUUUUAUUUUCCUUCCUUUAUUUUCUUCUAGGUUGGGUUUUUAUUGGGCUUUGGUAUGAUAAGACUUGGGAUCAAUUGAAGAGUUAUAAAAGACUUAGGAACCAAAUAAAAAAUAUUAAAAGAGUUAUAAAAGAAUCAAAGGUGAAAUAAAAAAUAUAUAAUAAGAGACUAAAUAAAAAUAAAAAAAGGUGCGUGCAAUGCACACAUCAAUAUGGAAAAAAGCUUGUCGUGUUUAAACAACGUGUGUAACUUUCUUUAAGUUAUGAUGAAGGAUGCCCUUUGUUGGAAUUGCCUCGGCGGCAUCUCUCUUCCAUGGCAUCAAUAGUGUAGUCAUGAUGGGGCGCUAACAACCUUUUUUUCUUGUAUUUUUUUUCUCCUCUAUUCCUUUUUUUCUCAUCCCCUUAAUUCUUGGGCAUGACCUGGAGAAGAAAAAAAAAAUAAUCACAAUUUUAAUCUACAAUAACUUAUUUAACUUCUUAGAAAAAAGCAUAAUCAUGCUUUCAAUGUCAAACCAUGUCAUCAUUAGGGGGAAAAAAUGAAAAUAUCGUGUAACUUAUAAAUCGCUCUUCAUGCUGAGAUUCUAAUUACCAUUUAUUUAUUUAUUUUAUCUACUCCAAUCAACAAUUUUCUUACUCUCAUGAAUUAUUAAUUUAAUGACUACAGCCGUAAAGAAUCCAAACAAAGGAAUAUUAGUUCCAAACACUAGUAAACAAGAUAUGGAGAUGGCCAUUCACACAAGUGCGUUUGGUAUUGUGGUGACUGUUGUGGUUGUGAUAUGAAAAAAGUACUUUCAUAAAAAAGUGCUUUUAGUUGAGGUUUGUCUGUAAAAAUAUAUGUUUGGUUAAAACUGUGAUUGAAAUUAAGGUUGAAGAAAAAAUUGUUUAAUGUGUUUGGUUCAAAAUUGUGGUUCAAUUUUUUUUAUUGUAUAAUUACCUAAAAGGACUUAAUUCAUAAUACUAAUGAACAAUCUCAUAAAAUUAACAUUACAACUAAUAAAUUUUUGCAAAUAGACCUAAACAUAUUAGAAUAAUAAUUUAUAAUUGUUUCAUUAAACUUGCAGCAAUCCCAUCACGUACGUAAUCCAUUCGCGAAGGCCUUUGGUGUCCUUGACUUUGUAAACGUGAAGCCACAUCAGUUAGAAAAUCAUCAGGCACAAAAUCAGGAUGGCGAUCAAACUCCAUGAAUGCCACAUCUUGCAUUGAAGUUCUUCUAAUGUAAUUAUGAAUUGCCAUGGAUGCGACAACAAUUUCAACUUGUGUCUUGUAAUUAAAGGAUGACAUAUUCUGUAGAAUUCGCCAUCUUUUUUUUCCAAACUCCAAAUGUUCGUUCUAUCACACAACGUAAUGAAGAGUGCAUACGGUUGAAAAUUUCUUCACGAGUUUGUGGUUGUCCUCGCCUCCUAAAUUCUUGCAAAUGAUAUCUCUGACCUCUAUAUGGACCUAAAAAUCCAUAUUCAUUAGGAUAUCCUGAAUCAACCAAGUAGUUUUUCACUGAUAAAACAUAUAAUUGUUUUAAAUUGAAAAUUAAAAAAACAAAAAAAAAAAACAAAAUUACAUUACUAAUCAUAUAUACAGACACACACAAACACGUAUUACUACCUUCUGGUGGCUUAGGAAAUUUUAUACGUGGAUUGUCAAUUGCCUCGAGAAAAAUUCGUGUAUCAUGUGCACUACCUUCCCAACCCUCCCAAACAAAUAUGAAUUGCAUGUCAAAGCUACAUGCAGCCAUAACAUUCUGGGUUGGCACACCUUUUCGACUGAUAAAUGGAAUUUGAUUUUCAAAAGAAACACAUGCACGUACAUGUGUAUCGUCGAUAGCUCCUACACAAUUCUAAUAUAUGAUAAACCAGCAAAAUAACAUCAAUUUCAGCUGACAAAAAAAUUAAAUUUCACAAAUUCAUGAAAUACGAAUCACCAUUAACAAAUACGAUUAACGACAUCACCUUGAAAUGUGGCAUGUACCUCGGAUUGUUCACAAUUUCCCUCGGUGUGUUUACGAACCCGGGAUCUGCAGGUUGAAUUAAAUCUGUAGCAAGCGAACAAACUGAUCUAAGAACUUCAUUAAAGUACCUACUAAUUGUUUCUCCUGAAUGUUGGAAUCUCUCUUGAACUUCCCUAUUGGAAGCAACUAAAGCUAUUGUAUAAAGAAAUAUUCCAACUUUUUCAAAAACACACAUUCUUCUAGAUGCCGUUAACCCGUAUUAGUUUUCAAGUUUAAAGCACAUACUCUGAAAUGUCGGCGCAUCCAUCCUAAACAUAAACACACAACGCGUCUAAUGUCCAUGUAGAAUUUCUGUCAACCAUUGCAUUCUAGUGUUGUAUGAAUCCAUACAAGGCUCCUUAUAUAUAUAAGUAUUAUAAUAUAAAGCUAUGGCACCUGCCGUGCAUAAAAUCAAUUUCUGAUCAUCAAACCCCCUUUCCCAAAAUAGCUCACCUUCUUCAUCUGAAUCGUCAUCGUUGUUGUCGUCAGUAUCAGAACUGUUACUACCACUGCAAUCUCCAUCGUUUAUAGACAAAUUCCCAUAAUUAACGUAAUCGGCAACGUUAUUCAUUACAUCAUCAUAAUCCCCAUCAAAAAGUAUUGAAAACCAAUGCGAAUCCAUAUCUAUCAUGCCAUAAAAUUUUUGUGAAUAAUUGAAAAUUGUAUGACUUUUUUACAAAAAAACACAAAUGGAUAAUGCAAACCGAAAUAAGUGUUAUUGUUCAAUAUCUCCACGUUUUAUGAAAUUUUGCUCGGCAUGUAAAUUUUAUAACGCAAUAUUUAUUUGCAAUUUAGUCCUUUACCUCCUUUGAUAGUGAAAUUGAAUUUCUUUUUCCAAAAUGCCUAUUAUCUCUAAUAUAAAUUUAUAAUUCCACUUGCUAUAAACAACCUAAAAAAUAGAAGUUUAAGAGCUAACUUCAGUCCAAUUCCAGAAACAAUCAGCAGUUCACACACAUAUUGUUUUUACCAUACAACAUUCAAAAUUGCAUUUCCAAAACUGAUUUAUGCGUGUGCAGCUAGAUGGAAACUAACUGACUUUGGAAAAACCAUAAACAUCAAGAGAUCAAAAAAGUCCAAUUCCCUAAACAGCCAUGAACAACUCACACACAAAUUUUUUGAACCAUAUAGCAUUGAAAAUUUCAUUCCCAUAACUGAUUUCUGCGUGUGGAGCUAAAUGAAAACUAACCUGACUUUGGAAAACCCAUAAACAUCAAGAGAUUAAAAAAUUUCAUUCCCAAAAUUUCAUUCCAAAAUUGACAAUUUUCUACCCUUCACUAUCCCAAUGAACUCCAUAAACAAACAUUUGAAAACCUAAGAAACUAACCUGUUAUAGAUGGAACUAAAUGGAAUUAGAUGGAACUUACCUAUUACUGAUGUAUAAAUAGCAACAAUCAGUAACACCAGCAAUUACAAACAACCACUCUUGAUUCAAAUGUACUAACACAUUCGGUUUCUACCAAGAAAUUAUCAAUAUCCAAGUGAAUAACUUCCAAUACUACUGCAAUUUAUAUACAAAUACAUAAGAAUUGAUGUAAUAUUCCAAAAACUGUUACCUAACUUUCAAAAGCUACCAUUCAAGAACAAGUUACUAAACAUUCAAAUGUGGCAUACACCAACUGAAAAUUUCGAAAUUAGCAACCUAAACCUUCCAUUCCAGAGCAACUAACCAAACAUUCAAAGUAUGAUACCAACAAGCAAUAGUCUCAGUUUCAUAAAAUAUUAUCACCAACCAUUCAACUUCAAGUAACCAAACUGAAAAGGAGUACUUUAACAAGCUAAACAUAACAUUCAAAGUUAAGCAUCCACAUAUUUAAGGUAACAUUGAAAGUUAAGCAUCCACAUAUUUAAGGUCUACAAUUUAGAAAUUAACAUCCAUGAAAUUGCAACCCAACAACACUAUUCAGUCAUACAUAUAUAGCAAAACAUACAUGGUUGUGGUGUUCCAAAAACUUAGCUACAUAAAUACACCAAAUCAUGGGCAACUCCUUCUAAUUCCAACAACAAUUGCAGCACAGAAAGUCUGCAAAACCAGUUGAAAAUAUUUCAUACAAAUUAAUAUAUUACUUAUCUACAGAAUUCAACAUAAAUGCAAAGACAAGAAUAGGGUUAAAAGCUAAAAACUGACCUUGUCCAUUUAAGUUUGUCUGUGUUGGUCAAACAUAAUUUGCAGCCAUGACAUUUUUCUGUCAAUACAACCUAUUGCAGCCCACAUCUCCCUCUUGCUCCUCGCACAAAAGAAUUUAGUUGCAAAGGUAUGCAAUGCACUACCAAAUGCAACUCCAUCAAUAGAGUGCAGUUCUUGCAUUACCUCUUCAAUGCUACAACCUUUUUUUUAUCUCUACAAGGAGCUGUGAUCCCUCUAGGCAUGGAGACAGUCUCAACAAGUUUAUCCAGACGUGCAACUAGUACUGCUCCCAUUCCAGUUCCCCUUUUCUUUUUUCACAAUUGAGGUGUAGGCUGAUGUGCACCUUCUCUUUGAACUGCUGGGGUUGCUGCUACUGUUGGCGACAUUGCUUCCACCAACCAUAUUGCUAACAUCAUGUGUGAAAUCAUGGAUUGCAUCCUCUUCAGAGUUGCCACUUCCUUCUUCCAUAUUAGUAUCCUCAUUGGUUGUAUUCCUCAUUCCAGCAGCCAUAUUAUCUUCAUCUGAUAAGAGUCCUUAUGAGGGAGUCCAAGCAUAUUCUCCCGUGGCCACUAUGUUAGUAAACAUGAUAUCGUACUUGGCACACAACGAGGGCUCUAUGUCGACAUGUCUAAACUUCUUUGCUCCUCUCAUUUCCUGUGCAAUGACAGCUAGAUGUAAUUAGGAAUGAUACUAGGUGAAUAAAUAAUACAACAUGAAAAAAAAAAUUAUGAGGCUAUUGCAAAUCAGCAAACUAACCUGAAUUUUUGAUUGCCACCAUUCAUCAGUUGCUGAGAUGGUCCCAAGUUCAGUAGACCAACCAACUCCAGUUUUAGCUAUUAAUUUCUUCUAUACCCUCCAAUCCUUUUUAAUCCCAUCCCAUUUAUUUUUAAGCUGAGAUUUUGAUAAUGAAAGGCCUGUCUGAUCUUUGAAUGACUGUACGAAAAAUUUCCAGCCAGCUUUGUCAAAAUAUGUGUUUGGUCUCAUGCCUCUCUUAAUAGCUGUAAUGCAAAUGUCGCAAAACGUGUGCAACAUUGCCUUGCUCCAAGAAGCUUUGUCAUGUGUGUCAAACCCAUCCAUUGCUUAUGGUUGACAAUGCAAUGAAAAAAUAAACAAUCAAUUAACCAAAUGAACAAGAGAUUGAAUGCUAAUAAGGCCAUAAUACAAUAGUAAUAGAACAGGAAAUUACAUGUGCAGCAAAAGGUCAACCAAAGAAUAACAAAAGGUUGAAUGUUGACAAGGAAUGAAAACAUAAAUAAAGAAAUUAUGUAUAGAAGAAUGGUUGACAAUGCAAGAUAGAAUUCAAAACACAAUUCAAUAUAGAUGAAUAAAGGUUUAAUGCUGAUAAGGGAUGAAAAAAAGAAACUAAGGAACUAGUUAAAAAAAAAUUGCAUGUUGUGAAGUGUGAACUAAGGAACUUAAUAGAAGGAUUGUCAUCAACCUAAAAACCUAGCCACUAUGCCAUAAUCCUAUAACUGUUUAUCAUCAAUUAGCAGGGGAUAUUCUAAUUAGCAACUGAAAUAAUUUGUUUAAGUUAUUAUGUUUAUAGUUGUUAGCAAUCAACAACAAACAAUAGAAUUAUGUAUAACAGAAUGGUUGACAAUGCAAGAUAGAGUUGAGAAUAAUGGAAUGUGUUGGGUUGUUCCUUAGCCAACCUUCCUAUUUAUAUAGAGGCAGCAGAUCAUUGCAGUAACUGUAAUGAUUACAACAUCCUAUAUUAGAAUCCUAUUAUGAUAGAUACAUGAGUAACUAUAAUGAUUACAACAUCUUAUAUUAGAAUCCUAUUCUGAUAGAUACAUGAGUAACUGUAAUGAUUACAACAUCCUAUAUUAGAAUCCUAUUCUAUAAUAUGCCCCAUCAAGCUGAGGGUGGGGGAUCAACCCGAAGCUUGAAUCGAAAAGCAGUAAAGGAUGCAACAUGAAGCGGUUUAGUGAAUACAUCGGCAAGUUGAUCCCGAGAGGGAACAAAAUGAAUCUGAAUUUCUUUCUUGGCAACACGGUCACGGACAAAGUGAUAAUCCACUUCAACAUGCUUAGUACAAGCAUGGAAGAUAGGAUUUGCUGAGAGAUAGGAAGCACCAAGAUUAUCACACCAAAUGGUAGGGGCAGAGACUGAGGGAACCUGCAAAUCUGUUAACAAGUAUUGAAGCCAAAUGACUUCAGCGGUACCAUCAACAAGGGCUUUAUACUCAGCCUCAGUAGAGGAGCGAGCAACAGUGUGUUGCUUGCUGGAUUUCCAAGAAAUCGGCGUCUGACCAAAAAAGACAAGAUAGCCGCCCGUAGACUUGCGAUCAUCAAUACUACCAGCCCAAUCUGCAUCUGUAAAGCCAUGUAGAGCAAAAGAGAAGCCUCGAGUGAUAUGGAAACCAUAAGAUGUCGUACCUUUAAGAUAACGUAAAAUACGUUUGACAGCUGCCCAAUGAGAAUCUGUAGGAGCAUGCAUAAACUGACAGACUCUGUUAACAGCAAAGCAUAUAUCUGGACGGGUGAAGGUAAGAUAUUGAAGAGCACCCACAAUUUGACGAAAUCGUGUAGGAUCAUAGAAUGAAUGAUCUGGUAAUAAAAUGACUUUCGAAGGGGAGACUGGAGUAUCAACUGGUUUGCAGGAAGUCAUACCAGCUCAAGUGAGGAUGUUAAGAAUAUAUUUAUGUUGACGCAACAUUAAACCCAUACUGGUAGACUGAACUUCAAUACCCAGAAAGUAGUGAACAACACCUAAGUCACGAAGCUUGAACUCAGAGCUGAGUAACUAUAUAAGGUGAUGGAGCAUAGCAGAGUUGCUACCCGUGAGCAGAAUAUCAUCAACAUACACUAGGAGAUAAAAGAUAUUAGUACCAUCAGAUAAGAUAAACAGGGAGGUGUCAACCUUGGAAGCUCGGAAACUGAUAGAGAGCAAAAAAUCACUUAGACGAGUGUACCAUGCUCUCGGUGCCUGUUUCAAACCAUACAAUGAUUUGUGCAAUCUGCACACAUGAGAUGGAAGAGUAGAGUCAACGAAACCUGGAGGCUGUUUCAUGUAGACCUCUUCAGUAAGAACACCAUUGAGGAAGGCAUUAUGAAUAUCAAGCUGAUGAAUCUUCCAAUUUUCCAAACCGCGAUAAAGAAAACCAAUCGUACAGUGGCCUGCUUAAUAACUGGACUGAAGGUUUCAGAAUAAUCAAUACCUUCCUGCUGGGUAAAACCUCUAGCAACAAGGCACGCUUUAUAGUGCUCAAUACUACCAUCAACACGACGUUUGAUCCGAUAUACCCAUCUACUGCCAACAACGUUCAUCGAAGGAUGAAAUGGAACCAAAGACCAAGUGCGAUUUUCGCGUAAAGCGGCGAUCUCAUCACACAUAGCAUUAUGCCAAACUGCAUACCGGUCAGCAUCAGAGAAUGCAAAAGGCUCAGAAGAGGGAGAAUACAGUACCCGUGUGGAGGUAGAAGUAGCGGCAGCAGAAGCAACCAGAUUAGCUGUCUUCGGCUGCCGCGGUCUAAGAGUCAUAGGAUGUCUGCUGUGUGCUGGUGGAGACACAGGGGAAGACGGUUGUAGCGAGGAGACCUGUGGCAGCUGAUAAGAAGACAAAUCAACCAUAAGUUGCAGACCAACGGGAGAGGAUGAUAAAGAAGCAGCCUCAAGCACAGGACUGUCAGCAGAGGAGGGGCUGGAAGUAGAGACUGAAGCUGCAGGAGUGCUGGCCAGGGAGGGCGAAGCAGAGGAGGGACUAGAAAGUGCCCCAAGACCAUGAGGAGAGGAGACCAAUUGACGAUCUGAACCUGCAUUAUAAGGGUUAGAUAAACAAGCAUGGGAUGAUGGCCAAGGGAUGGGCGGAGGCUGUGGUCGGUGGCUGUUUGGAGUGGCAAAGCGGAGUGUUGUGGGCUGUUUGGGUGGCUAGUGAAAGUGGGUGGCGGUGGGUGGUUUAGCAAAUUUGGAGGGUGACAGUAGGGGUGGGGUGGGGGUUGUGGUGGAGACCUUUGCAAUCUGUUCAGAAUUAUCAAAUGGAAACACAUGUUCAUGGAAGCGGACAUGACGGAAAUAUAAAUACGGUGAGAUGCAAUGUCAAGACAUCGAUAACCAAGAUGCGAGGAACUAUAUCCAAAAAACACACAUGGAGAGGAACGAAAAUCCAAUUUAUGAUUAUUAUAUGGACGCAGAAAAGGAAAACAGAGACACCCAAAGGUACGCAAAAAAUGAUAAUCAGGAGACCGUUGAAAUAAACAAUCAAACGGAGAGCGAUGGGCAAGAAUAGGAGUAGGCAUGCGAUUUAUAAGAUAAACAGAGGUUUCAAAAGCAUAAUUCCAGAAUCGAAAAGGUGCUUUACAUUGCCCUAAAAGAGUAAGACCUGUUUCCACAAUAUGCCUAUGACGACGCUCUACUGUUCCAUUUUGUUCAUGAGUGUGGGGACAAAUCAGACGAUGAUGAAUACCAAUGGUCUGAAAAAAUGUGGAUAGUUUUCGGUAUUCACCGCCCCAAUCAGUUUGAACAGAUUUUAUUUUUAAUGAAAAUUGACGUUCGACAAGAGUCUGAAAUUGAUGAAAAACAGAGUAAACAUCAGACUUGGCAACGAGAGGAUAAUACCAUACAUAUUUAGUAUAAGCAUCAACAAAGAUAACAAAAUAACGAUAGCCAUCUGAAGAAAAAAGAGGAGCAGGGCCCCAUACAUCACUAAAAAUUAAUUCAAGUGGAGCAGAAGUUUUGUGACCCGUAGGUCCUAAAGACAAACGCGAUGAUUUUCCUAAAGGACAACUUUGACAUUGAAAAUUAAGACGUUUGUUGUUACAAAUGAUCUUAUUUUUCGAGAUUAACAAUUGAAAAAUACGUGAAGUAGGAUGACCUAGUCGACGAUGCCAUAAAUCGGCAGAGGCAGAAGUGCAGGGAGACCAAUAGGCUUGAGGAACUGACGUGACGGAAGACUUGGUCAGGGCAUAGAGACCAUCUUUACUCUGACCUGAGAGAAGGACUUCAUGGGUGUUGAAAUCCUUGACAUAAAACACACGAGGGUGAAAUUCAAAAUAAACAUUAUUAUCAAGACAAAAUUUCUGAACAGAGAGCAGAGGUUUUGUGAUUGCAGGAACAUGAAGAACAUUAGAUAAGGUGAAAGAACGAUGUGGUGUAUAUAUUUUUGUAUGACCAAGAUGAGAUAUAGGAAGGCCCUUACCAUCACCAACAUGCAAAUUAUCAUUACCAAGAUACGGUUCUGAAGCGGUCAAGGUGGCAAGAUCAGGUGUGACGUGUUGAUUGGCACCGGUAUCUGGAAACCAAUCAACAGAACCGGUUGAGGAGAGAUUGCGCUGCACCAGGUUGGCAGUAGGUUGUUGGCCAUAACCUCGCUGCUGGAAUUGAGGGCAAUGGGAGCUGUAUGGCCGAAAUUCUGACACAGUUGGCAGCGUGGAUUCUGCCCCCUAUUGCGCUGCCAAGAGCCCUGCCUAUUGUCACCGAAGGAGGAGUUUUGGAAGCUGCGGUGAUCAGGUCUGGAGCCAGCAAAUCGGUUGCCUCUGCUGUUGGACUGGUUGGGACGCCAGCCACCGUUGAAGCGGCCCCUGCUGCGGCCAGAAUUGCCAAAAGUCUGGCGCUGCGCAACAAGAGCAGAAGAUGGAAUGCUGGGUGUGGGCAGCAGAGGAGCAUGUAUGGCAGCAGAAGAUUUGUGAAGAAAUUCAUGUGUGAGGAGAUGGCUGUGAAGAUCUGCAUAUGAUAAAGGUUCAGCCUUGGUAAUAAGACUGGUAACUAAGUCUUUAAACUCUCCCCGAAGACCACGAAACACAUAUAAAUUGAAAUCUUCAAGCGAAACUGGCCGACCAGCAGCGGCCAAUUCAUCAAAUAAGGCCUUCGCUUUUUGCAUAAAUUGAGUUACUGAUUCAUCACCCUGUCGAAGAUCCUGAAGAGAGCCGUGAAGUUGCAUAAUACGAGAGUUGGAGGUGGAAGCGAGAGCUCGCUCAAGAGUGCCCCAAGCUGAACAAGAACUUUGACAGCCAACAACAAGAUGCAAAACUUCCAUAGAUAGGGAGGAAAGAAGAGCACUUAGAAUGAGUUGGUCCUGUUGUUUCCAGGUUUGAAAAAGCGGAUUUACCUGAAGAGAGAUACCAUCAUGGGCAAGAACAUGUGUUGAUGGACAUGUGUUGGAGCCAUCAACAAAACCAAAAACUCCUUGGCCUAGGAGAUAAGGCAGCAUCUGCAUACGCCAAUAUAAAUAAUUGGUGUUUGUUAAUUUGAGGGAGAUGACUUGAUGAGUGUGAGAAAGGGAGAUAAUGCUUGCGGCAGUAGAGGCAGCAGACGUGGGCUGCUAGAGGAGGCGUUCACCAGCCAUGGCAGAGGAGAAUCCAGGCGGUGACGCAGCAGAGGAGGCGCUGCAAGAGAAGAGGGCUGCACUGUCGGAGAAGAAGAAAGCUGGACUACUAGUGCUGCAGAAUUUGAAGAUGUAUGUGGCGGCUGUUCCAUUGAAGAAGGGAGGCUGUGAGAAAAGUAGGUUUAAUUUAUUUUAGGGUUUUGUGGCUCUGAUACCAAGUUGAGAAUAAUGGAAUGUGUUGGGUUGUGCCUUAGCCAACCUUCCUAUUUAUAUAGAGGCAGCAGAACACUGCAGUAACUGUAAUGAUUAUAAUAUCCUAUAUUAGAAUCCUAUUCUGAUAGAUACAUGAGUAACUAUAAUGAUUACAACAUCCCAUAUUAGAAUCUUAUUCUAUAAUAAAUAGAAUUUAAAACACAAUUCAAUAUAGAUGAAUAAAGCUUUAAUGCUGAUAAGGGAUGAAAAAUAAUUGCAUGUUGUGAAGUGUGAACUAAGAAACUUAACAAAAGGUUUGUCAUCAAUUAGGAGGGGAUGUUCUAUAUAUAUAUAUAACUAUUAUUUUAAUGUACAUUUAAUAACUUUUUAUAUUUAUAUAUAUAUUAUUUUAAAUGUUUUAAUCUUAAAUGUUUAUUAUAUAUAUAGUUAUAUAUAGAGUAUAUAUAUUAUUUUAUAUAUAAGAGCAUGGAAAUACCAAGAUCGUCGUAAUGAGCAUUGAAGAUGUGGUUGACGAAUGUACAAUGUUCUACUUUGCUGGACAAGAAACAACCUCAGUUCUUCUUACCUGGACCAUGGUUUUAUUGGCUCAGUAUCCGAAUUGGCAAGCACGCGCAAGAGAAGAGGUUGUGCAAGUCUUCGGUAACAAAAAACCAGAUUUUGAUGGGAUAAAUCACCUUAAAGUUGUGAGUAUUUCUCUGCAUUUGCAACUGAAUUCUUGUACAUCAAUAUUGUUUUAUUAUUGUUAAGAACACAGAGCAUUCUUGCAUUUAAAAUGCAAGCGUAGGUAUUCUUUGAAGAAAAAAUAAGAGAGCAGAAAUAAAAAACGUUCAUGUUUUCAUUCGUUGAAUUAUUAAUCGGCCAAAAUGACGAGGAAAAGCAACCAACAGAUGAGUACGCAAGCAAGCUAGGAGGUGACAUCUAUAUACAUUAAGAAUGAGAUUUACUAGUUCUUGGGUCAACAUAAAAAUUCUCAAAUUAGUAAGUUGAAAUGGCAUGCAAAUGAUCUCUAUAUAUGCGAUAUUCUAUUUUAUCAAAGUGGAUCGCAUGUCACCUUUUUAAUGGAUUCUUACCAUGUAGUAUCAUUUUCUCUUUUGAUGCAUGUUACAGGUUACCAUGAUUUUGUAUGAAGUUCUUAGGUUAUACCCGCCGGUAAUUAUGCUUAAUCGAGAUGUUCAUGAAGAAAUAAAGCUCGGAAAUUUGCUAUUACCUGCCGGAGUGCAGGUCUCGGUGCCAACAAUCCUCCUUCACCAAGAUCAUGAACUAUGGGGUGAUGAUGCCUCUGAGUUCAAACCAGAGAGGUUUGCUGAAGGUGUUUCAAAGGCUACAAAGAGUCAAGUCUCAUUCCUUCCAUUUGGAUGGGGUCCUCGGAUAUGCGUUGGACAGAACUUUGCUUUGAUUGAAGCAAAAAUGGCUUUGGCAAUGGUUUUACAGCGUUGCUCUUUUGAGCUCUCUCCGUCGUAUAUUCAUGCUCCUCGCACAGUCAUAACUCUUCAGCCACAGCACGGUGCUCCAAUGAUAUUACGUAAACUCUAAAAUGUUCAUAUGUGACGGGUAAGAGUUAUCCCAGGGUAUAAAGUAGGUUGGAUCUCCCAACAAACCAAACCAAAAACAAAGCCUCUAGUGUAUAAUAUUAUGUGCAAAUUAUGCUAUCAUGUCCAAUGACAU
rnacentral:lncRNA from 1 species